AGCAGCCGCGGUAAUUCCAGCUCCAAUAGCGUAUAUUAAAGUUGUUGCAGUUAAAAAGCUCGUAGUUGAAUUUCGGGGUUAGCAGGUCGGUCGUGCCAUCGGUAUGAACUGGUCUCGCUGAUCCCUCCCUCUUGACGAACUGUGAUGCCAUUAAUUUGGUGUCGCAGGGAAUCAGGACUGUUACUUUGAAAAAAUUAGAGUGUUUAAAGCAGGCUCACGCUUGAAUACAUUAGCAUGGAAUAAUGAAAUAGGACGUUUGAUCCUAUUUUGUUGGCUUCUAGGAUUGACGUAAUGAUUAAUAGGGAUAGUUGGGGGCAUUAGUAUUCAAUUGUCAGAGGUGAAAUUCUUGGAUUUAUUGAAGACUAACUACUGCGAAAGCAUUUGCCAAGGAUGUUUUCAUUAAUCAAGAACGAAAGUUAGGGGAUCGAAGACGAUCAGAUACCGUCGUAGUCUUAACCAUAAACUAUGCCGACUAGGGAUCGGAUGAUGUUAAUUUUUAAUGA
rnacentral:rRNA from 1 species